UACGAAGGGGGCUAGCGUUGCUCGGAAUUACUGGGCGUAAAGGGCGCGUAGGCGGCCUGCUAAGUCGGAUGUGAAAACUCUGGGCUCAACCCAGAGCCUGCAUUCGAUACUGACGGGCUAGAGUACUGGAGGGGAAAGCGGAAUUCCUGGUGUAGCGGUGAAAUGCGUAGAUAUCAGGAGGAACACCGGUGGCGAAGGCGGCUUUCUGGACAGUAACUGACGCUGAGGCGCGAAAGCUAGGGGAGCAAACAGG
rnacentral:rRNA from 1 species